GUGGUUUAAUUCGACGAUACGCGAAGAACCUUACCUGGCCUUGACAUACUAAAAAGCUUUUAAGAGAUUAGAGUGUGCUAGCUUGCUAGAAUUUAGAUACAGGUGCUGCACGGCUGUCGUCAGCUCGUGUCGUGAGAUGUUGGGUUAAGUCCCGCAACGAGCGCAACCCUCGUGUUUAGUUGCUAACAGUUCGGCUGAGAACUCUAAACAGACUGCCUACGCAAGUAGGAGGAAGGUGAGGACGACGUCAAGUCAUCAUGGCCCUUACGGCCAGGGCUACACACGUGCUACAAUGGGGUAUGCAAAGAGCAGCGAUACGGUGACGUGGAGCAAAUCUAGAAAAUGCCUCUCAGUUCGGAUUGUAGUCUGCAACUCGACUACAUGAAGUUGGAAUCGCUAGUAAUCGUAGAUCAGCAAUGCUACGGUGAAUACGUUCCCGGGUCUU
rnacentral:rRNA from 1 species